rnacentral:rRNA from 1 species
CCUACGGGAGGCAGCAGUGGGGAAUUUUGGACAAUGGGCGCAAGCCUGAUCCAGCAAUGCCGCGUGAGUGAAGAAGGCCUUCGGGUUGUAAAGCUCUUUUGUCAGGGAAGAAACGGUCUACUCUAAUACAGUGGGCUAAUGACGGUACCUGAAGAAUAAGCACCGGCUAACUACGUGCCAGCAGCCGCGGUAAUACGUAGGGUGCAAGCGUUAAUCGGAAUUACUGGGCGUAAAGCGUGCGCAGGCGGUUAUAUAAGUCAGAUGUGAAAUCCCCGGGCUCAACCUGGGAACUGCAUUUGAGACUGUAUGGCUAGAGUGUGUCAGAGGGGGGUAGAAUUCCACGUGUAGCAGUGAAAUGCGUAGAUAUGUGGAGGAAUACCGAUGGCGAAGGCAGCCCCCUGGGAUAACACUGACGCUCAUGCACGAAAGCGUGGGGAGCAAACAGGAUUAGAUACCCUGGUAGUCCACGCCCUAAACGAUGUCUACUAGUUGUCGGGACUUAAUUGUCUUGGUAACGCAGCUAACGCGUGAAGUAGACCGCCUGGGGAGUACGGUCGCAAGAUUAAAACUUAAAGGAAUUGACGGCUGAGAGAGCGAGACGACGACGAGGGAGGAGG